rnacentral:rRNA from 1 species
UACGUAGGGGGCAAGCGUUGUCCGGACUUACUGGGCGUAAAGGGCGCGUAGGCGGCCUGUUAAGUCGAACGUGAAAUCCCCGGGCUCAACCCGGGAACUGCGUCCGAUACUGGCAGGCUUGAAUUCGGGAGAGGGAUGUGGAAUUCCAGGUGUAGCGGUGAAAUGCGUAGAUAUCUGGAGGAACACCGGUGGCGAAGGCGGCAUCCUGGACCGAUAUUGACGCUGAUGCGCGAAAGCCAGGGGAGCAAACGGG